CGGGAAACGGCACUAACACCGAUAUGCUUCGGGGAGCUGUAAGUGAGCUGUGAUCCGGAGAUUUCCGAAUGGGGGAACCCGCUGCCUUUAAUCGGGCAGUAUCCAUGUGUGAAUUGAUAGCACAUGAGAAGGCAGACCCAGGGAACUGAAACAUCUAAGUACCUGGAGGAAGAGAAAGCAAAUGCGAUUCCCUGAGUAGCGGCGAGCGAAACGGGAUCAGCCCAAACCAAGAGGCUUGCCUUUUGGGGUUGUAGGACACUCUAUACGGAGUUACAAAAGGAAGGAUUAGGCGAAGCGACCUGGAACGGUCCGCCGCAGCGGGUAACAGCCCCGUAGCCGAAAACCCUUCCCCUCCAGAGUGGAUCCUGAGUACGGCGGAACACGUGAAAUUCCGUCGGAAUCCGGGAGGACCAUCUCCCAAGGCUAAAUACUCCCUAGUGACCGAUAGUGAACCAGUACCGUGAGGGAAAGGUGAAAAGCACCCCGGAAGGGGAGUGAAAUAGAUCCUGAAACCGUGUGCCUACAAGUAGUCAGAGCCCGUUAAUGGGUGAUGGCGUGCCUUUUGUAGAAUG
rnacentral:sRNA from 1 species